CACUUACUGAGCCCCCUGCCUGCCGUGUACAGUGACCCCAUGUUUAUAAUGGCUGUAAAUAAGACAUCAGGCCCAGCUGUGCUGAACGACCCUUCAGCGAACGCUAUGCAGUCCCGCUCGCCCUCAUCCGAAACUCUGUCCCAUCAUCUCAUGGUUCAUCGCUCUGGGCUGAAUUCAUGUCUUCAAAGAUGACAGAUUGCCCCCCCCCCCCCCAGAGGAGGGAGGGCUGUUUGGCUUUAUCCUUUCGGUCGUACUUUGCCAAAUUGUAAAAGUAGGUAGACUGCUAAAAAACACAAAGAACUCGGGCACAAAAAGAAACGUCUCCCGGGUGACCUCUGACCCGGACUCAAACCAAACCUGAAGGAGGUGGAUGUGGGGAGGAGCCAUCGAAGCUGUGACCCGGCACGGCCCUCUGUGAUUGGCUCGUCACAUCGCUUCUGCACCCAGGGCCGGCGCUCGGCAUAGGCGACCUGGGCGAUCGCCUAGGGCGGCAAAUGUGUUGGUGGCGCCCUCUGGUGGCGCCCUUAAUUAAUUAACAUAUACAAAACAAUCAACGUGGGCAGGUGGAACGCAGCCGCUGAGUUUACAGCCCCUACCCGCCCGACAUGAUGGCCUCCUGGCCACCGUGAGGCUCCGCACCCAGAGAGGAGCUUCUUUUGUCCCCCUGCAGGGCGGCGGUAGAGCUGCCUCCUUCUCUGCCACUCAGUAGCGUGUCCUUUCUCCGCACUCAGCCCUUUUGAAAGUUUCAGCAACCGCAAACACAACGCAGGGACUUUAUGCAAAACGACACGCGUGCUGGUGAACCGUGCCGCGGUGCGAGGUCCUCCUGGGCUCUGGAACUCUGGCGUUCCUUCCCCCCCUCCUCUCGGUGAGGGGCGGGGCAAGAGGCGUCCGCCCGCGCCUCGAGGCUUGCAGAGUGGGUGUGGUUCAUUGGUCUCCUCCACCUUGCUGCUCCAGGGCUCCGUCUGACUGCUUCCUGCGGAGACAGGAAGUGAAGCGUCGGCCUCUUCCCCAGUUGUCGGGCAGGUCGUCCACCUGUGGUUUGAGCACCGCUUUAUCGCCCCCCCCCUGCGCUCGAGGGAUGAGAUCCCGACGGCGCCCCAGCCAGGCAGAGGGGGAGGUGGGGGGGUCCUGUCUGAAGGGCGUCUGGCGGGUGGGGGACCUUCAGGUCCAGGCCGGGUGCUCCUUGAUUCGAUAACAAACGUUCACCAGACUGAGAGACACUGUCAACAUCAGGUUAAGCACUGCAUGGCGUCAUGGCUGCAUGUUUUCAACUCGAUUGCUUUUACAUGUCGUUUUCAUACUUGUUUUUAAAUAACAAAAACAUAAAUCACCGGAAUAAAAUCAAAUCAAGGGUUUGGAAAUGACGAAACAAAGAGCUCUUUGUGACGUGACGGACGUUUGAUGCACGCUGAGGCUUUCCCGGCCUAACGACAACCCAGGCCUCCGCGUGCUAGGCUAGGCUAGGCUAGGCUAGGUGUAUAUAGCAGUGUCCAGCCGACGGGAGGCCCGCUGCACCGAGUGUUGUGAACCGUGGGCCCCCAUUGGCUGUGGCGGUCCUCUGUUAAGAUAACGGUCAUUAAGAUGGCGGUCAUGUGUUAAGAUGGCGGUCAUGUGUUAAGAUGGCGGUCAUGUUUGAGGUGGCGGUCAUGUUUGAGGUGGCGGUCAUGUGUUAAGAUGGCGGUCAUGUGUUAAGAUGGCGGUCAUGUGUUAAGAUGGCGGUCAUGUGUUAAGAUGGCGGUCAUGUUUGAGGUGUCGGUCAUGUGUUAAGAUGGCGGUCAUGUGUUAAGAUGGCGGUCAUGUGUUAAGAUGGCGGUGCGUGUGUUAAGAUGGCGGUGGGUGUGAUAAGAUGGCGGUGGGUGUGAUAAGAUGGCGGUCAUGUGUUAAGAUGGCGGUGCGUGUGUUAAGAUGGCGGUGCUUGUGUUUAGAUGGGCGUGAGGCCGGCUGUGUGACAGUGUUGUUGACGCCAUGGGUCUAGGUGCUUGAGGCUGGGUCUAGGUGCUUGAGGCUGAGUAGAUGCUUGAGGCUAAGUGUAGGUGCUUGAGGCUGGGUCUAGGUGCUUGAGGCUGAGUAGAUGCUUGAGGCUAAGUGUAGGUGCUUGAGGCUGGGUCUAGGUGCUUGAGACUGGCUCUAGGUGCUGGAGACUAGUGCCGCGUUUCCACUGCAGGGUGCGGAACGGAUCGGAUCGCAAAGGGGCGGUAGGGAGGGGGCGGUAUAGCCCAGCUCAGUUCCGAGGUCGCGUUUCCACCGCCGACAGUACCCUUUGUGGUAGGCCGGAUGUCGAUCGCCGCGUCAGCUACGUAAACAUCGUGAACAACGUCUUCCUCCGCAAGAAUGCAGACGAACGUCUCCACCUCCUUGUUCGCCCAAGCAAGCUUUUUACGCGACAUGUUAAUUGUAAAGAAUAAUACCUCGAGGCUACUGUUUGUUUGUUUUUAUCCCGUCACCCGGAAGUGACGAUUCUGUCGACCAAUCAACGGAGGGGGGGUGUAGCUAGAAUUCCAGGGUACCCUUUCAGGCGUCUGGUCUCGUUUUGGGUACCGCAACGGAGGAGUCCCUAAAAUGGGGUCGGAACGGGUACGGCAAAGUCCGGGUCACGCCCACUUUUGGCGGUGGAAACGCGAUCCGACCCGCACCUUUGCGAUCCGAUCCGUUCCGCACCCUGCAGUUGAAAUGCGCCAUAAGGGUGCAACGGAUCACAAAGCUCACGGUUCGGAUCGGGUCACGGUUUUUGAGUCACGGGUCGGAUCAUUUUCGGAUCAACAACAACAAUAAAGAUAACAAGACAAAUGUGACUUUACAUAAAAUCUUUUAACUGUGUAAAAACAAAAUAAAGUGAAAAAUUAGGUAAUAAUCCUGCUUCCUUUAAGCAUGGUCAAUAUUUAAAAAAAUUGCAAUUUGAGGCAUUAUUCCUUCUUCUUUUUAACAUGGAUAGGAUAGUAAAUAAUCCCUAACCCUGGAUUUACAAUUCAGGAUGUCUGCAUUGCCUGGGGAGUUUAGAGUCUACACUCUCCCAAGGCAAUGCAGACAUCCUUAUCUUCUUAUUUUUUAGUUUGGUAGCGAAAUACAGUUUCUGUGGUGUUUUAUUUGGCAUUUUGUAAAUCCAUUGAUUUCGGUUGGGAGACUCAUGCUCAUUGCAAGGGGGGUUGGUUGUAGUCUUUUCGCUCGGUUCUAGCCCUACUGUUGAUACGCGAAAAGACUACAACCAAACCUAAAGACAUCCGGUUCCGGUUCCGGUUUACAUUUCAAUGUGAUUUACGGAACGCCAAAUAAAACACAACAGAAACUGUGUUUCGCUACGAUACUUGAUGAUGUUGUUAAUACCGGAAUUGUCCUCUAAACAUGCGCUGAUCACGUCAACGCACAACUUUUUUUUUUAAUCAGCCGAUCCGCGGAUCACUUGCGUCCCGAACCGUGAUGGUUGAUCCGUACGGAUCACGGGAAACCCGUGAACCGUUGCACCACUACUGGAGACUUGGUCUAGGUGCUGGAGGCUGGGUCUAGGGACUUGAGGCUGGGACUAGGUGCUUGAGGCUGGGUCUAGGUGCUUGAGGCUGGGUCUAGGUGCUUGAGGCUGGGUCUAGGUGCUUGAGGCUUGGUCUAGGUGCUUGAGGCUAGGUGCUUGAGGCUUGGUCAAGGUGCUUGAGGCUAGGUGCUUGAGGCUAGGUCUAGGUGCUUGAGGCUGGGUCUGCUUGAGACUAGUCCACACAGCCAGCAGUGUUCUUUGAUGGGAGAGGAGAGAGAGAGAGAGAGAGAGAGAGAGAGAGAGAGAGAGAGAGAGAGAGAGA
ensembl:lncRNA